AUGGAAAAGUGGGAGCGAGCAAUAUGGAACAACUGGCCGAGUGAGUCUCAGCGGCAAGGAAGAGAAAAUGCAUCAGAGUCGAUUUGUUCACGCCAUGCACCCUGUGAUGAGGACAUCAAUACCAUUGUUAGACCCACAGUCUCUGCUGCUAUAUAUACUGGACCAAUUACUAGAGCUCGCGCACGCCAAUUAAAUUAUCAGGUAUUUUCGUUUCUUGGUAAUGAUUCUAAUGUUCAUGAGAAUAUGAUGCUGCCUAAAUUGGAUACAUUUGUUUUGCUUACAAAUGAAGGGCCUAACUUGAAGAAGGAUGAACAUUGA
rnacentral:rRNA from 1 species